rnacentral:lncRNA from 1 species
CCCGCCCCCGCCCCGCAGGGCCCCCAGGCCGGGCGCUGGGGGCGCACAGGCAUACAGAUUCUCUCUCCUCACCACGCGGCUGCUGCUGGAGGAUGGAGGAGGGGUGGUGUCAGCAAUUCAAGACUGUCUUUCCUACCCUCUUCAGUGCCCUUCCUUGAUAAGCUGUUUAAACCAGAACCGACUGUUUCUGGAAAAGGUAAACAUCUAUUCUCCAAAGGGCAGUGACUUUCUACCUGUGAAAAUAAAAAGUAAACUUCAGAAGAAAAUUCUGAAAGAGGAAUUUAGAGAUGUUCCAAAUAAAGGCAAUAUAGUUUCACUGGAACUGAAAUGUUGCCUUCCAAUUCUACUACAGAAGGCAGAGUGGCACAUGUGGCACCUGGUCAGGAUGGACUCACUAAAGGAUUUAACCCAGACUUCUGAUCAACAAAUAUUGCUGCUACAUUAACUGAUUCGCAACAAAGAAAGAAAAUAUCAUCCAGUUGAUUUUAUUAUUUAAAUAUGGGCUCAAAUCUUAAAUCUGACAAACUAAUAAAUAAAUAUGUCUGCUGACAGCUCAACUGAAGUCCCAGCCACAGCCAGCAUCAACUGCAAAGACACCUCCAGAUGACUGCAACCCCAGCCAUCAAGUCAUUCCCAGCCUUCAAGCCUUCCCAGCUGAGGCCCAGACAUCAGAGAAGGUAAACAAGCCACCUCUGCUGUGCUCUGUUCACAUUCCUGAUCCACAGAAACGGUAUGUAAGGUUCAUGUGGAUAAGGGCUUUGUCUUGUUCAGCAACGUGUCCAUUGCCCUGGAACAGUGCCUACUACCUAGCAGCCAUUCAGUAAGUAUU